rnacentral:rRNA from 1 species
GAUGAACGCUAGCGGCAGGCCUAACACAUGCAAGUCGAGCGGGGUUUUCGGACCUAGCGGCGGACGGGUGAGUCAUGCGUAGGAAGCUACCCGAUAGAGGGGGAUACCAGUUGGAAACGACUGUUAAUACCGCAUAAUGUCUACGGACCAAAGUGUGGGACCUUCGGGCCACAUGCCAGCGGAUGCGCCCACGUGGGAUUAGCUGGUCGGUGAGGUAAUGGCUCACCAAGGCGAUGAUCCCUAGCUGGUUUAAGAGGUCAAUCCCCCACACUGGCACCGAGAUACUGGCCAGACUCCUACGAGAGGCAGCAGUAGGGAAUAUUGGGCAAUGGACGCAAGUCUGACCCAGCCAUGCCGCGUGCAGGAUGAAGGCGUUAUGCGUUGUAAACUGCUUUUAUACAGGAAGAAACGACUCUUGCGAGAGGCAUUGACGGUACUGUAUGAAUAAGCACCGGCUAACUCCGUGCCAGCAGCCGCAGUAAUAC